CUGGCGGCGUGCCUAAUACAUGCAAGUCGAACGAAGAGUCUUUGUAGCAGUAUGAGGGCUUCUUAGUGGCGAACGGGUGAGUAACGCGUUGGUGACCUGCCCCAAAGUGUGGGAUAACAGUCCGAAAGGAUUGCUAAUACCUCAUGUGGCCAUCGGGUUUAGAAACCGAUGUCUAAAGCAGCAAUGCGCUUUGGGAGGGACCUGCGUCCCAUCAGCUAGUUGGUGAGGUAACGGCCCACCAAGGCUACGACGGGUAGGGGGCCUGAGAGGGUGGCCCCCCACAAUGGAACUGAAACACGGUCCAUACACCUACGGGUGGCAGCAGUAGGGAAUAUUGCACAAUGGGCGAAAGCCUGAUGCAGCAACGCCGCGUGAGCGAUGAAGGCCUUCGGGUCGUAAAGCUCUUUUCUGGGAGAUGAGAAAGGACAGUAUCCCAGGAAUAAGUCUCGGCUAACUACGUGCCAGCAGCCGCGGUAAAACGUAGGAGGCAAGCGUUAUCCGGAUUCACUGGGCGUAAAGCGCGUGCAGGCGGUUUGGUAAGUUGGGCGUGAAAUCUCCCGGCUCAACUGGGAGGGGUCGUUCAAUACUACCAGACUCGAGAGCGAUAGAGGAAAAUGGAAUUCCCGGUGUAGUGGUGAAAUGCGUAGAUAUCGGGAGGA
rnacentral:rRNA from 1 species